GAUGAACGCUGGCGGCGUGCCUAAUACAUGCAAGUCGAGCGAACAGACGAGGCUCUUGCUCCUCUGACGUUAGCGGCGGACGGGUGAGUAACACGUGGAUAACCUACCUAUAAGACUGGGAUAACUUCGGGAAACCGGAUCUAAUACCGGAUAAUAUAUUGAACCGCAUGGUUCAUUAGUGAAAGACGGUUUUGCUGUCACUUAUAGAUGGAUCCGCGCCGCAUUAGCUAGUUGGUAAGGUAACGGCUUACCAAGGCAACGAUGCGUAGCCGACCUGAGAGGGUGAUCGGCCACACUGGAACUGAGACACGGUCCAGACUCCUACGGGAGGCAGCAGUAGGGAAUCUUCCGCAAUGGGCGAAAGCCUGACGGAGCAACGCCGCGUGAGUGAUGAAGGUCUUCGGAUCGUAAAACUCUGUUAUUAGGGAAGAACAAAUGUGUAAGUAACUAUGCACGUCUUGACGGUACCUAAUCAGAAAGCCACGGCUAACUACGUG
rnacentral:rRNA from 1 species